GGGGCCGAGUUGUAAUCUCGAGAAGUGUUUUCCGUGAUAGACCGAAUACAAGUCUCUUGGAAAGAGCGUCNUANUGGUGAGAACCCCUACCGAUGCGGAUGCCUAUUACUUUGUGAUACACUUUCGAAGAGUCGAGUUGUUUGGGAAUGCAGCUCAAAUUGGGUGGUAAAUUCCAUCUAAAGCUAAAUAUUGGCGAGAGACCGAUAGCGAACAAGUACCGUGAGGGAAAGAUGAAAAGCACUUUGGAAAGAGAGUUAACAGUACGUGAAAUUGUUGGAAGGGAAACACAUGCAGUGAUACUUGCUAUUCGGGGCAACUCGAUUGGCAGGCCCGCAUCAGUUUUUCGGGGCGGAAAAUCAUAGAGAGAAGGUAGCAGUCUCGGCUGUGUUAUAGCUCUUUAUUGGAUUCGCCCUGGGGGACUGAGGAACGCAGCGUGCUUUUUGCAUGAGCUUCGGCUUAUCCACGCUUAGGAUGCGGGUUUAUGGCUGUAUAUGACCCGUCUU
rnacentral:rRNA from 1 species